UGGCGGCUCGGGCGCGGACAGGACACGGCCGGGGGCGGGGCCUUGGGGAACUGGAGGGACGCCGGCCAGGGCAGGGGUCCCGGUGUGCGGGCUGCUGCGAGCCUGUGUCCGGUGAGGCGUGGUGGUCCUCGAGUGGCUUCUGUGGCCCUCACGCCUCCUGCAGGCCCGGGUCGGGCCAGCCUGGUCUUGCCGGCUCGGGCCUCGGUCUACUGGGUGGCAGGUUAAUCAGCGUGAGGGAUGAACGGCAAGGAACUUGGUGUAGACCGGGAAGGCUUCCUGGUGUGGCGGCCGUGGUGGUAUUGUGCAGAGGUGGGCCCUGAUCCGCUUGACGGUGUCCUUAUGAAGAGGGGAAACGAGACAGCCGGGCACACACGGAGAAGCGCGUGAAGGCAGGGCGGCCGUCUGCAGGCCCAGGAGAGGGCCUGGGACAGACCUCCUCACAGCCCUCGGGAGCCAGGCUCCGACACUGGGAUCUCGGGCUUCUGGCUUCCAGAACGUUGAGGUUCCCGGAACAGGCGCUAGAGGGGGCUGUAACCCAGGUCUGCUGGCAGGCUGUGGAGGAGCAGCCCAGCCAGUGCCAGAGGACGGGCUGCUGCCUCGGCGUCUGCUCUCGGUGGCCCGGGGCCUGUGGGGCCUUGAACUGGCGGGAGCCUCUGCAGUGCGGGCCCCAGAUGACAGCCUGCAGGGUCACCAGUAAACUGAUGUUCCCAGUGUGACCCCCCCAACGCCAAAUGAAAAGUGUGGAACUGGAAAACACAGUAGCCACGAUAGCAUCACGCCCGUCCCUGGACACGGUGACCACUGUCCGCUGCUGGAUGGGUGUGAUAGCAACAUGGAGCUGGUGGAAAGACUCGGGAAAUUCACAGAUAAGGCAGUAGAACCUGCUCAGUCUAAGCAACAGAGAGAGAACAGACUGAAGAGACACAGAGCCUCAGAUCUGCAGGACAGUCAUUUGAUCACCAGAGACCCGGAGCAAGAGGAGGGAGCGUGUGGGCUGCAAAGUGUUGCAAGGAGUAAUGGCUGACAACGUCUGAGCCUGGUGAAAGACAAGCCCGCAGGCACAGCGGACUAACAAGCCCCGAGUAGGCCCGGGUGUAGCGUCAGCCACUCCGCCGCCCCCGACUCUGGAUGUGGCCCCCAGGCGCCUCUGUCCACGGGAUUCUCCAGGCAGGAAUACUGGUGUGGGUAGCUCCUCCCUUCUCCAGGGGAUCUUCCUCGACCCAGGGAUUGAACCCGAGCCUCCUGCAUUGCAGGUGGGUUCUUUACCAUUUGAGCCACCAGGGAAGAGCUAAGCCCUCUAAAAAUCCACACUAAGACACAUCGUGAUUAAAUCUCUGAAAACGAGUCACAGAAAAAAAAAGUGAAAACCGAGAGAGAUGUGGUGUCGCCUCGAGAGGGACACGAGUGUGAGUGAGAGGCUUCUUGUCGGAAAGCAUAGCGGCCAGAAGGAAGUGGCACGUUCUUCAACGUCUGACGGUUGCAGCAAAGCAGGGGACUCUGUGCGCGUGAGAGAAGCGAGAGGGGUGGAGGGAGGACUCUGCGCCACGCGACGGGGCGGAACGUCGGUGCCAUGGACUGGUGACUGCGUGCGUCCACGGGGGUGUGCAGAGCGUUGCUCACAGACGUUGACAGCGAUGCACUCAGCGCGCCGUCCGGGGGAAUUCUGGCAGAUAUCCAGGUGCCCCGCGCUGUGGCGCAGGACAGGACAAGGCCACUUGAGCACUAAUUAUCUGUAGUUACUGCAGAUGUGAACGGCAUGUACACACCAGUGAGAAGACAGAUUCGCAGGAGGGAUAAAAACCCAUGACCCAACUCCACGUUUUCUGUCAUAUGCUGAAACUCACUUCAAACGUGGUAACGGGGAGGCUGAAAGAAAAAGGAUGGAGAAAGAUCUAUCAUGUAAACAUUCUCUUUGAAAAACUAGAAUGAUGACUCUCAGCCAAGGCAGAUGUCAGAGCAAGGGGAAUUUCCAGGGGAAAACAGGUCGAUUGUGUAACAAUGAAAGGAUUAGUCCACCAGGCAGAUACAUAGCAGUCACAAAUGUUUAUGACCCAAACAGAUCUUUAAGAUACACAAAGCAAACACUGGUGGAGCUGAAAUGAGAGGGACAAACCCCCCAGUUUCAGGUGAGGACCUCAGCUCCCACUCUUCACAGCUGCUGGAACUGCUGGACAUUCGGAAAGGACACAGACCAGUGUCGAUUGGAGGGAUCAGUGGACAUUCAUGGAACCCUCCACUCAACAGGCGAGGAGUGCAUGCUGUUCACAGCUGCCCGGGGACGUGCCAGGAGAGACCAUAUGUAUCCUGGGCCAUAAAACAGACCUCGACAAAUGGAAGUGAAGUCGGAGCAUAAAAAUCAGUGACAGAAAGACAGACUCCAAACGGGGACGAUAACUCAGUUCCCAGAAACGAAGGGGAAGAACUGUUGACACAGGCAGAGACUCGGGUGCACCUCCAGGCGGUGUGCCGAGUAAAGGGCAAUCCUGACGAGACGCCGACUGCGCGAGUCCCUGUAAGCAGUCCCGAGGUGACACGGGAGUGGAGGACCCGGGAGCGGUCUCCGGGGCUGGGGGCUGGGCCGGGCGUGAUUGCACGGGCAUAGCGGGGGAGCCUCCCGAGUGUCCUGAUUGAGGUGGCGGCUCUGUGAGCACUCGGGGGUCCAGCCUCCUGCCCCCUGCCCCCUGCCCCCUGUCCCCUGCCCCCUGCCCCCUGUCCCCUGACAUCCCUGCAGACGGGAUGAACAGGAGCAGUAGGAGAGGGACCGCGCCUGGAAAGGAGCAAAUGCGAAACGGGAACAGGAAGCUGCAUCUUCAACGAGAGGCACGUGGGCGGCAGAAGCAGCAAAUGCUCGGAUCAGGUGAGGAGACGUUUGGAAGGACGUGGAGGGUUAGGGCCCCGAGUCUCACGGGUGGGAAGGUUAGGUAGUGCCGCCACUGAGGAGCCCUGUGGUUCCUGAAAAAAUGGAGCAGGAUUCGCAAGUGCCCUGCCAGUCCACACGCGGGUGCGAGAAGGGAAAGGCGGGGAAGGAGGGGAGGGGAGGGCUCUCGGGUCUGCCCCCCUUGUUCACAGCGGCCAGAAGGUGAGCCUGGGAUGUGCUGGGUACACGCCACCCAAGGCGUGUGCGUGAGUAUCGGCCGUGGUACGACGCUGACCCCGGCCGGUGUGGGCCAGCCGCAGCCACGCUCCGCCUGGUGAGAGGAGCCCUCUCGCGGGGCCGUGAGUCUGCGUCCUGCUUCCCUGAGGCACUGAAGCUGGCGUGGUGGCUGGGAGCGGGGCAUCCUAGCUGCCACAGGCUGUCCCGAUGCGAUAGGUGGCGAAGCCCAGUUGGCAAGUUUGUGGGGGGUGGCCGCUCGAGGAAGAGGAAGAAAGCCGGGUCCCGGCCUCGGCCCAGCCGGACGAGGGGAAACACUUUAGAUGAGGCUGCAGUUUUGACCGUUUCAUGGCACUGGCCACGAAGAGGCUGAGUUGACACUGGCUGCAUAUGUUGACAUAACGGUAGAACUUUGAAAUUCUCUGCGUUUGAGCCGAAAUGUGAUGGAACUGUCCCAAAUGUAUAAGCAGGAGCCACCUCCUCCGAAUGGAGUUUAGAGGCCCGGCCAGGGUAGGAAGGAGCCUCCUCCUCCGAAUGGAGCUUAGAGGCCCGGCCAGGGUGGGAAGGAGCCUCCUCCUCCGAAUGGAGCUUAGAGGCCCGGCCAGGGUGGGAAGGAGUGACUUCAGGUCUGCUCCAGGAGCGCCCGUUCCCUGUCCUGGUGACGAACGUCGUGAACUGUCAUCUCACCAGCACAACAGACCGCCACGAGCCGGUGCGCUUGGUCGGACUGUUUAUUAGCUCCUCCGGCCAGUUCUCAUGGGACGCUCGGGGUCCCGGCAUCCACAGGAGCCCCUCCUCACAAAGCUGAGGGCCGGAAGCCUGUGGAUGGUGGGGAUGAAGGGGAAGGACCCCAGCUGGCGAAGAUGAGGGGACGAUGGGGCGGGGCCUGGGGCUCUGGGGACCGGCGACCCCUGCUGCCCGCGGGCGUCACUGCCUCUGUCUUCUGCAGCUGUUGUGAGUCACCACUGGCGCGGGGCCUCACACGUCUGACCAUCUCGCGUCAGGGGCUCAGGAGUCCGGCAGGGCUCGGGUGUGUCCCCUGAAGGCAGCCCUGGAGGCCUGGGCCGGUCCUCUGCUGGGGGCCCCGCGCCUUGGGUGGCCUGCUGCCCCUCGGAGCCCUGCCCCGAGCUCUAGGCCAGGUCCCUGCCCUCCGGCCCCUGCUUGGGCCCCUCUUCUGCACCCACACAGGCCCUGACAGCUCUGCUCUGUGCGGGGCGCUUACCUUGCCCUCCCCCCGCCCCGCCAGGAGGGACGUGGCUGGACAAGCUGUACUGGUAGCCUUGCGGUCACUGGGUCCCUUUGGUUCCCCGUCAGCAGGUGCUGGGAGCCACGCCCACCUCCAUGCCCACAGGUGGGAGACUCUUCCAGGUGAAGCCCCCCGAAGCUCCCACGCUGUUGCUGGCUGGGAAGCAGGACUCACCUAGGAGUCUGCCUCCCGAGCCCAGCUCAGCACCCCCGGGUGGGGGGACGGUUCUGAGACCCCCCUCGCCUGGGCAGGUACCCACGUCCGUCUCCUCGCCCCUCAGGGUCUAAUGCAGUGUCCGUGCUCCCCAGGGCGCUCGGCACAGCAGGGGGCAGAGAAGGGGGCAGGUUCAGCAAUUGGGCUCCCGCACGCUUCGCACAGAGCCAGGGCUUCAGGGAGACCCCGGUGGAACCCCAAGGGCCCAAGCUGGCCUGCAGGUGUGAGGGCCCCAGGCAGGGAGGGUUCCUUGCAGAAGCAAUGUCCCUGUUGAAUCCUGGUGGGUGAACUGGACUUGGCACCUCCAGGAGUCUGGGGCAGGGGAGGGAGUGGUUGGAAAAUAAGGAGGUUUUGAAGCUGGAGCCUUGUAAGACUCAGAGACUCGGGUUCCGGGGUGGGUGAGGGCCCUGGGCUGGGGCACAGGCACCCCUUCUCUGGGGAGGGCAGGAGGGCUGCGCUGGGGGGCCGCCCUGUGGGUGGAGGGGACGCACAGGCCAGCAGGACCUGUGGGGAUGUUUGCCUGACGUGAUCCCCGCCUCACGCCCUCAGGACGGCGGCCUCCCUGUGGGUGGAGGGGACGCACAGGCCAGCAGGACCUGUGGGGAUGCUUGCCUGACGUGAUCCCCGCCUCACGCCCUCAGGACGGCGGCCUCCCUGUGGGUGGAGGGGACGCACAGGCCAGCAGGACCUGUGGGGAUGCUUGCCUGACGUGAUCCCCGCCUCACGCCCUCAGGACGGCGGCCUCCCUGUGGGUGGAGGGGACGCACAGGCCAGCAGGACCUGUGGGGAUGUUUGCCUGACGUGAUCCCCGCCUCACGCCCUCAGGACGCCCAGUCACCCAGGGCUUGCCACUGUCCAGCCCGGCCAGGUGAGGACCUUGACCCAGCUGUGCGUGGCAACACUGGUCCACACAGCCCCCUUACCCUGCUCCAGGAGGGGCAUCCCCAAGGUGCCCCCACGUGAGGCCACCGGCCACCCGCGGUCUAGGUGGCUCCCUGGUGGACCCUGUGCUUACCCCCCGUCUCGGGAAGGGGCGUAGGCCGUGCAGUUCAGGGUGGAGUCUCUUGGAUCAGCUGCACGGGCCACUGUGCCGUCAGUGGGAGCGUUGCCCGGGCUGCCCCAGUGGCUCAGCAAUCAAGUGCAGGGGAUGUGGGUCCAGCCCCCGGUGGGACGAUCCCCUGAGGGGGAAGUGGUGCCCACUCCAUAUUCUUGCCUGGAGAGUCCCGUGGACAGAGGGGCCCGGCAGCUGCAGCCCACGUGGUCGCAAGAGUCGGACACGAUUCAGCCUCUGAACAACAGCAACAGCAGCUGGUCUGUGCCGCCCGGUUCUGGACACAGGGAGGCCGGGCCUGGUUUGAGGGCCCCUGGCUCCCUGCCUUGAAGCAGACGCGCCGCGCGUCGCCAUGGCCGCGCCGGGGCCGCAGCAGCUGGACGAGGACGACGGCCUGAGGGCCUGCGAGCUCUACGUGCAGAGGUGCGGGGUCCAGCAGGUGCUCAGGGAGUGCAUCGUGCAGCUCUGCUUGGCCAAGCCCGAGCGCCCCAUGCGGUUCCUGCGCGAGCACUUCGAGAGGCUGGAGAAGCUCCUAGCAGGCCGGGCGGCUUCACGCCCCCACAGGACCCCGUCUUCUUCUGCGGCUCAGGCUCUCAGCGCCCCCCACCCCCACCCCGAAGGCUUGGGGUCGUUUGGGAAGUGGUGGCUGUGACUGUCGUUUGUGGGGUCACCAGGAGUUCUCAACUCAGGGACCAUCAGAGAUGCGCUCUGCGCUCAGGGUGAAAGCGAACGAACGGCCAACAGGGAGCGUGGUGGAGCGGUGAGGUCCUCCUUAGGAGGGUCUGCAGUUCUGAGACCAGGCAGGUGCAGCCCCUCAGACCCGCGGCUGCACACCCCGCUCCCUCAUGCCUGGAUGACCCCCCUCUCCCCUCCUGGUUCCUGGUGUGGGCGGGGGCCGGGAGCAGGAGAUGGGCAGGAACCCCCAGAGGACCCCCGAGCAGCUUCCUCACCCCCUCAUCCCCCCACCUUCCUGCUCAUCCCGUCUCUUUCCCCUCAUCGCCCCCACCUUCCCACUCAUACCCCAUCCCUGUCUCUUCCCCCUCAUCCCCCCGCUCAUCCCGUCUCUUCCCCCUCAUCCCCCACCUUCCUGCUCAUCCCUGUCUCUUCCCCCUCAUCCCCCCAUCGCGUCUCUUCCCCCUCAUCCCCCCCACCUUCCUGCUCAUCCCUGUCUCUUCCCCCUCAUCCCCCCCCCCACCUUCCCGCUCAUCCCGUCUCUUCCCCCUCAUCCCCCCUGCCCCCGGCACUCACUCCCUCUGGGUAACCCCGGGCUCCUCCUCGAGGUCCUCAUGUCAGGACCUGUCUGACACUGCUUGCCCCUCUUGGGGACUGAACGGGACCCCAGUUGGGGCCCAGCUCUGUUUUAAGCACCUCUGUGUCCCCAAGCCCCGCGAUACUUAACUUCUGACGGAGGCCCCUGUGGACACAGAGCCUUAACCCAGAGGAAUGGAUUUAUUUCUUCCCUUGGAAACAACCCGCUGAAGCACAAUUUAAAGUAAUACGUGCCUUUUAAAGAAAAUUUGGAAAGUUCAGAGGUGGAAAGAAGGAGUAGGAAUCACCUGGAGCCCUUCCCACCUGUCCCUGCCCCUGCUCAUUACGGUUUUGGAACACGGCUGGAGUCAAGUCGCGCGUGCAGCUUUAUGUCCUGCGUUUCUCACACGUCCCUCGCAGUCCUCGCUGUAAAUGACUGUGUCGUGUGGAGAAGAUUCACCAAAGUCUUCUCAACAUCUUCCUCAUGAUUGGACAGCCGUUUCCAGCUUUUUUUUUUUUUUUUGGAAAGUAAUGCCAUACGAACAUAUCCAUGCAUAUAUUUUUUUUUCUUUCUGCAUGUAGCGUCGUUUAGAGGUGGAAUGACUGAAAUUCCAGGUGGACUUCCUGGGUUACAGAGAUGUUGCUGGUGUGGGCGGUCAGGGUCUCUCCAAAGGGAGCAUCAGUUCAAGACCCACCAGCAGAUGGUGUGGUUGUGGCCACCCACCCUAGGCAGCCUUAGCUGUGCUUGCCUGCGUGAGCAUGCAUGCGAGCGAAGUUGCUCAGCUGUGUCCGACUCUUUUUGACGCCAUAGACUCUAGCCUGCCAGGCCUCUCUGUCCCAGGGAUUCUCCACGCAGGAACACUGGAGUGGGCUGCCAUGCCCUUCUGCACGGCUCUGGCUGAUUUACUGUGAAAAGCUGUUUUCAGCUGAUGGCUGAGCACGGUCCUGUGGCUUUCAUCUGUUUUCCUUUGGUCCCUUCCGAGAUCACUGUGUAGGAGAGAGAUCCGGUGCCCAGCCGGUGCCCAGAGGACAGGGCGGGGCCGUGCCCAUCUUCCUGCACGUGUGAGGGGGCAGAGUCAGGCUCUGACAGUGCGACUCGACUUGUUCACGACCACCCCAGCCCGGUGACGCGUCCCAUGGGAUGUGAGCUCUCAGCAGGGCGGACGCAGGCAGCCUGCUUGGAAGACAGAGGCCUCAGAGUUCAUCUCGCUUGAUAGACACCAGGAGUGCAGUUGCUGUGUUGCGUGGAGACAGACACCGGAGUGUCUUCCAGAGCGGCUGCCCCGUUUUGCAUCCAGGCAUUUUGCGGCCGUGGGGGAGGGUUCCUGUCGCUGUCUCCUUGCCAGCAGGUGGUGGGCAGCGUCCUGGACUCCGGUCAUCCCCGCAGGCCUGCAGCGGUGGCUCUUGUGUUUGAGAAGAAACGUGAGGAGAAGCAGCUUCCCUACGCUCGGUGCCGUGUGCAGACCUCCCCUGCGAGGGCUCUGCUCAGAUCUUUGGCCUGGUUUCCAUUCCGGUUCGUUUUGUUUCUGCUGAGUUUUAAGAGCCCCCUAGGUGGCGCCAGUGGUAAAGAGCUAGCCGGCCAGUGCCAGAGGCGUGAGAGAUUCUGCUCUGAUCCCUGGGUCGGGAAGAUCCCCUGGGGGAGGAAAUGCCAACCCACUCCAGACAAUCCCAUGGACAGAGGAGCCUGGUGGGCUGCACUCCAUGGGGUCGCAAAGAGUCGGACACGACAGAAGCGACUUAGCACGCACGCACAGAGCUCUUUGUACGUUUUGCGUACAAAUCCUGCCUUCGCUCUAUCUGUUUUGCAGAUGUUUUCUCCUAGUCCAUGUGCUGUCUUUUCAUUCUCUUGAUCAGAUACAAUUUUUUUCCUUUGGCUUCGCCAUGUGACUUGCCGGAUCUUAGUCCCCUGACCAGGGGCAGAACCCAGGCUCUGGUGUGAAAGCACGGAGUCCUAAGCGCUGCACCGCUGUGGAAUUCCGUGACUGUGCAUAAUUCUGGGUCCUGCUUUUCGGCGUUUGAAAGCAGACUUCACACAGUUGCUAAGUUUGUCAAACGUGUGGUUCAGCGAUGCGGUGUGUUGUAUCGUGCAGAUGCUUCUGACUUGAUUGGCGCCAUCUCUCGUUGGUUGAAGUGGAACAUCUUUCAGCCCUGCAAGGAUCUUCUGGCAGAUUCCUUGGUGACGCCUCUCACUGUUUCCUUAGGAUGUGUUUUAAGAAACAGAAUAUGAAGCUCAGACGCACCCAGUGAUAGUAAAGCCACUUCUCCCAAAAGGUUUCACUCAUUCAUUCCGCCAGUUUUUAUCGAACAGCUCUACGCGCCGGGCACUGUCCCAGGUGCUGAGGACGUGCUGGUGAGCCCCCGGGAAGCCCCCUGGGAAGCAGUGGUUCCGUGUGGGUGUGUGCGACGGAGGGCCGCGACGCGGGGGCACGGGGCCUGCCCCGCGUAGUCACUGAGCUCGGUUCCUUUUCUGGGCUUCAUCUCGAGAUCACGAUCGGGUUACAUCAGAGACCCUAGAAGGAGGUACGUGAGCUCAGAGCUUCAGAAUUCGAGAGUGAAGUACCCAGUGUGACUUGUUAUCUCUAGGGACCCCCCAGGAUGACUUUGUCUUUUUCUCACUCAGAAACCAAAAUUUUUACUGUAAUCCAGUCAAGUUACAAAUUAUUAAUAAAAAGCCAGAAAAAAGGAGCCCGAAGCCCCUGCGUAUGUUUGGAAAUCAGUAAUGAGCUUUUGUCUGUUCAUCAGCAGAAGACUGUCGUGGUAAAAAUGUUACAAAAUAUUUAGGCUGAGCGACAGUAACAGCAUUGCUUAUCAAAGCGUGUGGAGCAGCAAGGCUGGUACUCAGAGGGAAAUGUGCAGCCUCCUUAGAGGCAAGAGGAAGAAACAAGAUGAGACACUAAUGAGCUGCGUGUUAGUUUCCUCGGGUGCCAGAGCAAACUGACAAGAAAUGGGGCCGCUUACAGCAGGUAUUUGUUAUUCAGUUGUGGAACCCAGAAGCCCCAAAUCAAGGCCUUGGGAAAGGCAGUUACUUCUGGGGGCUCUGAUGGGGGUCCAUCCUGGGUCUCCCCUGCUUUUUGGGGCUCUGAUCGGGGCUCUGCCCUGGGCCCCCCCUAUUUCCGGGGGCUGCCCUCGACUGGCAGACCCAUCACCAGACGGUCCCGUGUUUGUCCCUGUGUGUCUGUGUCCAGACUUCCUCCUGAAAGGACGUGCGCCGCUGGGUUAGGGCCGCUCCGAUGCAGGAUGACCUCAUCUUAACUUGAUUGUUUCUGCGAAGAGUUCUUUCCAAAUUAAGCCACACUCUGAAGUUCUUGAUAGACAUGAGUUUUUGAGGGGCCCUUUUCAACCCGCUGCCAGCUGGCACCUGCGAAGCCAGGAGGAGAGAAAGACAGCAAGAUAGAGACGCGGGAAAACAACAAGGAUAAACGCAGAAGCUAAUCCAGCAGAAGUCAGAGAAGGAGCAGCAGACGAUGAAACCAGAGGCUGACUCUGAAGAGACGGCGAAGUCAGCGUCCAGGGGCUGCCACGUUGCGAGACGCACACGCUGUGCUUUGCCACAUGCGGGGGAGGAGGGGGUCACGGAGGAGGAGGGUGGUGAGGGGUGGGCUCAGGUCUGCCCACGCCCCCUGGUUCAGCUCUGCACAUCUGGGUGGACUCAGAAGGCACCUCCUCCAGGAAGCUCUCCUAGACUCCUUGCUGAGGACGGUCCAAGGGCCGGCUGUUGCUGGCACAGCCCCUGUGCAUGGCUCUUUAGUGGUGCUCACCCGCCAUCUUGCUGAGCCCGCUCAGUGUCUGUCCUUUUCGAGCUCUGACAGUAACCUCCUUCAUGGCGGAACCAUGCUCUUUUCCCCUGUUGCAUACAGAGGUGCCCAAUAAAUGAUCGAAGCCC